AUGGUAAAGCACUUGCUUGGCUGCACCAAGUCUGCUACCAUAUACUUGUUAGGAAAUGAAGCCCAUUCCUUUGAGCCUGCCAAGCGCGCUGCCCCAGGGCCUUUGCACGACUCUUCCUGCUGCAGGACUGGCCCCUCCCCCAAUUGCUCUCACAGUGCAUCUCCUCGCUUCACUCCUGAGAAGGACCGUUCCUGCGUCUCAUCUUCCCACCAUUACCCGCACUUACUUGCCUUGCUUUAUUUUUAUUUCUUUAGUAGAAAUGGGGUUUCGCUAUGUUGGCCAGACUGGUCUGGAACUCCUGACCUCAGUUGAUCUGCCCAUCUUGGUCUCCUGAAAUGCUGGGAUUAUAGGUGUGAGCCACUGCACCCAGCCUGAAAACUCUUUCUCGACCCUCAAUGCUGUCACAAAAUUUUCUGCUAAACAGAAAUCAAUAGAUCAAGUAAUCAAAGAGUAUCUAAAGUCAUAUUUUAGAAUUUUCUCCAGAAAGGAAGCUGCUAGAGGGCAGGCUGCUUCUCUGUUUGAAUUGUUGAUGUAUCCCAAGGGUCUAGAACAGUGCCUGGCAUAUAUGCUCAACAGAAAUUUGUCAAAUGACUAUCGUAGGAAUAGGUGGUAGAUAUUUCUAGAAGCCAUGACUCUUCACUAAGGAUGAAAGCUAUGAUUUCUACCCAUCUUGAUUCCCUUUUGUCCUCAUCCAACUAAAAGAAAAUCUUCAAUAAAGAAAUCUCCCUCUGCGGCAGACCACCAAACCUGAGUCAAAUGUGGUCGCCAGACCUGGAGUAUAAUAGCUUUGAAAAAUAUUGCAAUUAAUAAUGAAACACAACUCUUAAAUUCAUAAUCACCUACAGGCUAGUGCAGCAAAGGGAGGAUUGAAGCUUUUGAAAUAGAUUUCAUUUUUCACCAGGGUCCAGAUGAUUUUUUUCUGGUGCAUUUUCAGUUCUGUCUGAAUCGGUCUGUUUUAUGCUUCACACAAAGAUAGUCACUGUGAGGUCUGAGGCAGCACCCGGACAUUAUCAUGCCACUUAUGUGGUCGUGGGGGUAGGUUUCUUUUCAGCCUGGACUUCACCUUCUUAUUAGCCUUUUCAUUUGUCUUCCCAACUAGGAGGUUUUAAAAUUCAGAACAGAAUAACAGGACCGGUAAGAGCUCAAUUGGAUUUUCUUCCUCCACUAUUCUUUCUUUUUUAUUUUUAUUUUUUUAGUGUUUUCAGACGUAAUAUUUAAUUUUUCUGGUUACAUAAUAGGUGUACAUAUUUAUGGGUCACAUGAAAUAUUUUGAUACAGGCAUGCAAUGUGUAGUAACGACAUCAGAGCAAAUGGGGUAGCCAAGGUUUCGUUACUCUUAAGAUAAAUCUUAUGUUGCAUUUAUUUUCAGGUACAUUAGACGGAGGUUCAUCUAAAUGGGACCUUUGCCUCCCACAUUUUGCUUGUUGGGGGUUGUACUUAAGGAGAUCGUGCAACUGUGGCCCAGACUUUGGUGCAGGGAUCUCCCCACGCGGGCAUCUUCCUCUUGCCCUGUGUCUGUACACACCGUGCCACGAAGCCUCCCUUCAGCAGGCUCUGGUCUCAGAAUCCUGACAUAGCGCUGAGGUUCUCUGCCUAGUGACUGCAGUCAGCUGUCUGGCAUCUUUAGCUUAGGCUCUUUCCAAAAUGCCACGCUGGAGGAUACUUUGUUUAGUUUUUGUAUGAUUAGGGUCAGGAUUAGUGGUGGGAGAGCAGAGUAGGACAAUUCUACAGAUCUUUUGGUUUUUUUAAUUAGUAUUAUUUUAUUGAUUGAUUGAUUGAGACAGAACCUUACUUUGUCAUCCAGGCUGGAGUGCAGUGGCACCACCUCAGCUUAUCGCAAACUCUGCCUCCUGGGUUCAAGUAAUUCUCAUGCUGCAGCCUUCUGAGUAGCUUGCAUUACAGAGAUGCACCACCAUGCCUGGCUGGUUUAUUUUGUACUUUUAGUAAAGACAGGGCUUCACCUUGUUGGUCAGGCUGGUCUCGAACUCCUGGCCUCAAGAGAUCUGCCUGCCUUGGCCUCCCAAAGUGCUGGGAUUACAGAUGUGAGCCACCAUACCCGGCCUGGUUUUAGACUGGAGUACCUGAAAGUUGUCCACCACAUAAACGUUCUUAAAAAGACUCCUGUCUAUUUCCCCUUUGAGUAGGUCAGCAGGAUGUGAUGAUGUACUGAGCCCAGCUGUGCAUUCACGCUUUUUUUUAAAAAAUCUGGGUGGAAGGCAGUAUCCUUGCACUGUACUGUGGCACAGACGGUUCGUGCUUGCUAAAUACUACAUCAGCUCUGUUGUGUUUCCCAGACUAUCUUGCAGUAAGGUCAGGCCAUGUGACUAGUUGUGGCAAAUGGACAGCAUCACUCCUGGGCUAGGACAGUCAAGAGCCAUCUGUUUCUUCUUCUGAUGCAGUGACUCAACAUUGUUGAGAUGACAGCAGCAUGGAUGGGAUGCAGAGAUCCUUAAUUCCUGAGUCACCAAAUGGAAAAGAGUCUCCACCAACCACAUUAGACCUUUAUUGUGUUAAGUCAUGAAGACUCUGGCUUCCUCUGUUGAUACAGAUAACAUGAAUACACUCUGAGUAAAUAUCACAAACAAGUGAAUGGGAAGAGUCAACUUUAAAUUUAAUGUCUGAUCUUUACCUGCCAGUGAACAUGAAUGUGAGGCUAUACCAUCUGUCUUAAAAACAAGAAACAGGAUAUAUGCUGAAAAGAAGUGGAAGCAGGGACUUGAAGACUUCUUUGUACAACCAUGUUCAUAACAGUAUUAUUAAUAACAGCCAAAGGGUAGAAACAACCCAGCAUGCAUCAAUAAAUGACAAACAAGUAUGAUACAUACAGACAAUUGAAUUGACUUAACCUUAAGAAGAAAUGAAAUUCUGAUACAUGCUGAGACAUGCAUGAACCUUACAAAUAUUACGCUAAGUUCAAUAAGCCAGACACAAAAAGACAAGAAUUUUAUGAUUCCAUGUAUAUGAGGUCUCUAGAGCAGUCAGACUUCACAGUGACAGAAGGUAGAAUGGUGGUUGCCACAGGCUGGGGAGGGAGACAUAGGGAGUUGCUGUUGCGUGGUUACAGAGGUUCAGUUUGGGAAGAUGAAGAAAGUUCUGGGGAUGGAUGGGGGUGAUGGUUGCACAAUGUGAAUGUAUUUAAUACUCCUAAGCUAUACACUUAAUAAAAGGAUAAAUUUUAUGUACAUUUUAUCAUAAUUAAGAAGAAACAAAAGAAAACCAAGUAACAGAGAGGAUUAUCUGGCUUUGAUUAGAGGGAAAGCUUCCCAGUCCUGGCUCCGGGCAGGAUAAUUCUCUCUCCCACUUCUUCCUUCCCAGAUCCCCCAUACACACUUCCCUGUGAGCCUCCCCUCCAAGGCUGCUCCUCAGUUAUGUCACGAGGCUGCAGACACUGCAGGACAGGGACUAGGUCUCGGCUGUAUCACUAGAGCACAGUGCCUGUCAUGGCUAGCUCAUCAUAAGCCCUCAAGACGUGAUGCUUGAAUGAAGGAAUGCAAGAGUGCUCUUCUCUAUUUGUCCUGUUGGAAAUGGUGAGGUGUGGGCAGUACUGCUCCAGGAGCUCCUGCUGACACAGGUGACAUCAAGGAGGACACACCCUGUGGUCUUUCCCCACCGUCAAAACCAGAUUAGAACAUACAGUGGUAGAACCCUUGGUGAAAUUAUGUCUGUAGCCUUCUUUAAUUCUUCUCUGUGCGUUUAUUAUGUAUCUAUUCAUUUGAAUUAUUCUUAAACCUAUUCAUUCAGACAUUAUUUCAGUAAAUAUUUAUUAACUAUUUACAAUUGGUGAGCUCUCUUCUAGGCACUGAGUAAAAGACGAGAAAGUUCCAUUCAUCACUGUGAAGGGAUAUUGCCUUCAACCUAGAUUUUUUUAAAAUCCCCUACAUCCCAGUGAAGGGAUACUGCCUUCCACCUAGAUAAAAAAAAAAAAGAGUGAAUGCACAGUAUAUUGAAUGGUGAGAACAGCUGUGGUGAAGAACAGAUAAGAGAGGAGAAACAGACAGUGAUGGGCUCAGAGUGGAGGCUGCCAUUUCAAACUGGGUGAUCAGAUGGCCUCACUGAGAAGCUGGUAUUUUUACACAGCCACGAAAACGGUGGGCAGGUGGCUCAUGUGAUUAUCUGGGAGAAGAACACUGUAGAGAGUAGAGAGAGAAACAAGUACACAAAUCUUAUUUUUUAAAUGCAUUUUUGCUGAACCACAGUUUUUAAGAACCUCACCUUACGAAGUAGUGCUUGCCUUUAUUUGUCUAAGAAUGGUAGCAUUUUCCAGCCAGUGCCUAGCACAGGGUGUGCUCAAGUCGUUUACUUCCAUUCAUGCGUUUAGCCUUGGUAUUACGGGAUUUCCAUAAUUAUUACUAACGUUUGUUGUCUUAGUCCAUUUUGUGUUGCUAUAAGGAAAUACCUGCCACUGGGUAAUUGAUGAAGAAAAGAGGUUUAUCUGGUUUCUGGUUCUGCAGGCUGUACAGGAAGCAUGGUCCCAGCAUCUAGUGACAUCCUCAGGCUGUUACCACUCAUGGGAAGGUGAAGGGGAGCUAGCUUGUAGCUUGUGCAGAGAUCACAUAGUGAGAGAGGAAGCAAGAGAGAGAGAGGAGAGAGAGAGGGAGAGAGAGAGAGAGAGAGAGAGAGAGAGAGAGAGGCACCAGGCUUUUUAGAAUAACCAGUUCUUAUGGAAAUCACUCACCCCUAUAGGGAGAGCAUUAAUCUAAUUAUAAGGAAUUCACCCCCAUGACCCAAUCACUUCCCAUUAGGCCCUCACCUCCAACACUGGGAAUCAAAUUUCAGCACAAAUUUUGGUGGGACAAACAUCUAAACAAUAGCAUAUGGAUACACUCUAAUUUUGUCUUUCUGAGGU
ensembl:lncRNA